GACGAACGCUGGCGGCGUGCUUAACACAUGCAAGUCGAGCGGAAAGGCCCUGCUCUUGUGGCGUGCUCGAGUGGCGAACAGGGGAGUAUAACGUGAGUAACCUGCCCCUUUCUGUGGGGUAAAUUCAGGAAAAUCGGGCUAAUAUCGGAUAUGAGAUCCUGAUGCACAGUGUGGAAUGGUAAAAUUCGGCGGUUGGGGAUGGAAUCGCGGUUUAUCAGCGUGUUGGUGAGGUAGUGGCUUACCAAGGCUUUGACGGGUAGCCGGCCUGAGAGGGUGACCGGCCACAAUGGGACUGAGAUAGGGCCCAGACGGCAACUGGAGGCAGCAGUGGAGAAUAUUGCACGAUGGGCGGAAGCCUGAUGCAGCAACGCCGCGUGCGGGAUGACGGCUUUCGGGUUGUAAACCGCGUUCGCCUGUAACGAAGCGUGAGUGACGGUAAUUGGUAAAGAAGCACCGGCUAACUACGUG
rnacentral:rRNA from 1 species